GACGAACGCUGGCGGCGUGCCUAAUACAUGCAAGUCGAGCGGACCAAAUCGGAGCUUGCUCUGGUUUGGUCAGCGGCGGACGGGUGAGUAACACGUGGGCAACCUGCCCGCAAGACCGGGAUAACUCCGGGAAACCGGAGCUAAUACCGGAUAACACCGAAGACCGCAUGGUCUUUGGUUGAAAGGCGGCCUUUGGCUGUCACUUGCGGAUGGGCCCGCGGCGCAUUAGCUAGUUGGUGAGGUAACGGCUCACCAAGGCGACAAUGCGUAGCCGGCCUGAGAGGGUGACCGGCCACACUGGGACUGAGACACGGCCCAGACUCCUACGGGAGGCAGCAGUAGGGAAUCUUCCGCAAUGGGCGAAAGCCUGACGGAGCGACGCCGCGUGAGCGAAGAAGGCCUUCGGGUCGUAAAGCUCUGUUGUGAGGGACGAAGGAGCGCCGUUCGAAGAGGGCGGCGCGGUGACGGUACCUCACGAGGAAGCCCCGGCUAACUACGUGCCAGCAGCCGCGGUAAUACGUAGGUGGCAAGCGUUGUCCGGAAUUAUUGGGCGUAAAGCGCGCGCAGGCGGUCUCUUAAGUCUGAUGUGAAAGCCCCCGGCUCAACCGGGGAGGGUCAUUGGAAACUGGGAGACUUGAGGACAGAAGAGGAGAGUGGAAUUCCAAGU
rnacentral:rRNA from 1 species